UACGUAGGGGGCUAGCGUUGUCCGGAAUCAUUGGGCGUAAAGCGCGUGUAGGCGGUCCGGUAAGUCCGCUGUGAAAGUCGGGGCUCAACCCUCGGAUGCCGGUGGAGUACUGUCGGGCUUGAGUACGGAAGAGGCGAGUGGAAUUCCGUGGUGUAGCGGUGAAAUGCGCAGAUAUCAGGAGGAACACCAAUUGCGAAGGCAGCUCGCUGGGACGUACUGACGCUGAGACGCGAAAGCGUGGGGAGCAAACAGG
rnacentral:rRNA from 1 species